rnacentral:rRNA from 1 species
UACGGAGGGAGCUAGCGUUGUUCGGAAUUACUGGGCGUAAAGCGCACGUAGGCGGCCAUUCAAGUCAGAGGUGAAAGCCCGGGGCUCAACCCCGGAACUGCCUUUGAAACUAGAUUGCUAGAAUCCUGGAGAGGUUAGUGGAAUUCCGAGUGUAGAGGUGAAAUUCGUAGAUAUUCGGAAGAACACCAGUGGCGAAGGCGACUAACUGGACAGGUAUUGACGCUGAGGUGCGAAAGCGUGGGGAGCAAACAGG